UCCGUAGGGUGAAACCUGCGGAGGGAUCAUUA
rnacentral:rRNA from 1 species